rnacentral:rRNA from 1 species
AUGGAAUUGAAAUUUGAGGAGGUAGCUGCCCUAGACAAAGAUAACGUUAGUGGUGAAGAUGGAUUAAUUACAGUAAGAAGUGCGUAUCCACGGACCCGUGGCCCUCACUUUAAACUCACUGAGGGAUUUAAUAUGAGAAAGAUUGAAGAGCUUAUGCUAGAAAAGUCUGUUUCGAUGGCCAAGUCCAUAGCAAAUGAGAUAAUCAUCCUAGACCCUACUCCCCAGUGGGUGUGUGAUAUCUUCUUCGACAAAUACGCCAAAUUGGAGCCCAUCUUUUUGAAGGAUAGUGUCCAGUGCUUCCUUGGAUUAUUCAAGAGCUGUGGGGGCAGGGGCAUGUCAUGGAAUCUUACCAUCACUGCACAAACCUUAACCUUCAUGAUCAGUUUCAAUGCCUUGCAAUGUGCACAAGUUGUAUUGGAGGGUGAGGCACCUGAGCUCCGUGGGAUGCACGCCAAUCCCAACUGCAUAAACAAAUAUGGAUACUUCUCGCUCCACGAAGCUGCUGAAAGGUUCUCUGUUGACAUGAUCAAGCUGCUUCUACGCCAUGGUGCAUCAGCCAAUGUACGCACAGUUGGCAAUGAUAUCAUUGAGGAUCUACUCCCGCUCCAUGUUGCAGUUGAGAAUACUUGCCUGCAUAAGUAUCUGGAGGACAAUCUUUCUCCCAGCCAGAAUCAUCUGGAUUAUAUCUACAAUCUUAUCCGUCUGCUGUGUCUACCUGAAAUGAAGAUCUUCUUGGAUACAACUAGACUGCUUGCAGAAAAAACAAAUAAUCUACUUGGAGAGCUCUGGAAAUACAUUGAGGAUGGAAAACUUACGCAGUCUGCAGUUCUACUACUGGCCGCUCAAGAGCAGAUCCGUGGAGGCUGUUCAUCCAGUAGUAAGAAAGAUGGGUUUGACAUGAUCAAGAGCAGUAUACUGAGGCUUUCAUUUACCUUGAUAUGGGGGAAGGGUUCAAGUGAAAUGCCACAGAAGCUUCCGGAGGAAAUGAAGGCACUUUAUUGCGCAGGGCUGCUUGUUGAUGUAAUUUCCCGUGUCGGUGAACCUCUUUCUGCAUACAUUCAAGCACAUUCAGAGGUGCCCAAUGUGGAGGUCUUGGAACAUGUUUCAUCUAUCCUCAAGGAGUAUGGAUUUUGCCCUACUGGAGAUUCCAUGGACACUUUAAACCUCCAGCCUUAUGACUGCAAAAUGUCGGACAGAGAAUCAUGCGAGUCUACAGAUACAAACAUGGCAGCUACGAAAACGGCCAAUCUGCAUGCUGCAAAGAAAAAGCCUGCGAGAAAGAAAGUAGGUGGAGGAUGGGAUCCCACAUAUGCAAGGAGAAGAUUUUUCCCAUAUUGGAGAUCAGUGUUACAAGCCCGGUUUCCUGUGAAGGUGUAUCCAAACUAUGCAAGAACAGAUCUUGAACAACUCCAUGUCUCUCUGAGAACCUCAGUGGCCAAGGGAUCUACUCGAACUCAAAAUAUAGUUGGUCCAGUGGGAAGAAUCUCAGCACUUAUAGGAAAUAAUCAAUCCACAAGGCGCUUUAUCACUACUGCUACUGGUGCAUUCAAGCUCUUGAAAGCGCUAAGGGGGCUCAACUUGGAAAUGAUCGGGCUGAUCCGCGUCGUCAGCGUCAACCUUGUCACCGGGGAGGGGAUCUGA